AUGAACUUUAGCUGGAGAGCCCUCUUCCUUGUGACAAUGGCUAUAGGUGUCCACUCCCAGGUGCUGCUGGUGCAGUCUGGGGCUGAGGUGGGGAGACCUGGGUCCACAAUGAAGAUCUCCUGCAAGGCUUCAGGAUACACCUUCACCAGCAGCACCAUGCACUGGGUUCAACAGGCCCCAGGACAAAGGCUUGAAUGGAUAGGGCGGGGUUACCCAGGUUUUGGUAAUGCAAACUAUGCACAGAAUUUCCAGGGCAGAGCCACCAUUACCACAGACAAGUCCACAAACACAGUCAUCCUGGACCUGAAGAGACUUAGAACUGAAGACACAGCCAUGUAUUACUGUGCAAGAGACACAAUGAGGGGAAGUCAGUGUGAGCCCAGACACAAACCUCUUUGA